CAGUAGCCACGGUAAUACGUAGGGUGCGAGCGUUAAUCGGAAUUACUGGGCGUAAAGCGUGCGCAGGCGGUUCGUUAAGACAGAUGUGAAAUCCCCGGGCUUAACCUGGGAACUGCAUUUGUGACUGGCGAGCUAGAGUAUGGCAGAGGGGGGUAGAAUUCCACGUGUAGCAGUGAAAUGCGUAGAGAUGUGGAGGAAUACCGAUGGCGAAGGCAGCCCCCUGGGCCAAUACUGACGCUCAUGCACGAAAGCGUGGGGAGCAAACAGGAUUAGAUACCCCUGUAGUCCCUGUCUCUUAUAC
rnacentral:rRNA from 1 species